UUAGUUAAUUAUCUAAAAACUUAUAUCUAACCCUCUAUAAUAUAGAUAUCUGCGUAUAUCAAUGUCUGUAUUAAAUGCUUAUUUACUUUAUUUAUUUUUAUAUAUCUACUACUUAAUAGGAAAGAAUAGGACAUCUUUUACAAAUUUUAGACAGGACUUAGGAGUCCAAGCAAGGCAUUGUUUUAAUUUUUAAGACAAUACAGGGUGACUCAGAUAGGUAGGAAAAUAACACUAGGAAAAACAUAGGGAGUGUUUUUAACUUGCUUACAUUUUACAUCCUAAGUCUAAUUUUACCUAUCUUAUCCUAAACUAAUAUAGUAUAUUAUUAAAAUUUUACUAUUCAUUAUUGCAAGCCUAGUUUUUUAUUUGUGGUAACUUCUACCAUAAGGGUCGCAUGGCACAUUGAAAGUAAGGAUAGUUUUCCAAGUUCCAUAUUUAAAAAUUGAAUGGCUUGGGAAUUGUUUUUACAAGCAAAAAGUUUAUGAUUUAAAUCAUUAAUUGAUUGAUUAUCACAAGUAGGUAUUGAUUGAAAUUACUAUGUCCUACCAAAAAUCUAAAAUAUGAUAUUAACAAGUAUUUUGGCAAAUUAUGGCUAAGGACUAUAAAGUGUUUUUGUCUAACCUUUUUUUAAUUGAAGCAUGGAUAUUUUUUGUGUUUGAUACAAAUUCCAAAAAUAUGUUUUUCAUACAUUUAAAGGCCUUUAAGUAGAUAAAAGGGAAUAAGUCCCUGUAGUGUACUUUAGGUAUAAAGUUGUUGCAAGAAAUGGCUUUUUUUGCUUCCUUAUCUACUAAUUCAUUACCCAAUAAUGCUGAGUGAGCUUUUAUCCAAACAAAGGCUAUUUUUUUGUGAUAUAGGCUAAGAUUUACCAGAACAGCUCUAAUUUCGAAAAUAAUUGGAUGGUUUAAGUUAUGUCCAUUACUAACGCAGUGUCUUACGUGAGCGAAGCGACGCGAUGCGUCAAAAUCAAACGGCUGUCGAUCAUAUGGCAUGGCCUACGUGAGCGAUUGCACGUGGCGUACAUACGAUACAAAGCGAUGCGACAUAAUCAGUUGGGUUGAUAAUUUCGCGCGAUUCGCACGUGAUUGUCGGAACUAAAUCAAAGCAUGGAUCUAGAAAUUUUAAUCAAUUUAAUACAGCAACGUCCUGUUUUGUGGGACAAGAGAAAUAAGAGUUACCACGACAGAAUAUCAACGCACAGAGAAUGGGAAAAGGGUCGUGAAGUCGACAACAGGAACGAGGAACGACAUAUGAUACCGUCAAGAAAAAAUGGAAACAUCUGCGAGAUACUUAUUGUAGGGAAUUGAAAAAAAUUCCAAAACCCCAUUCAGGAGUUGAUGCUGAUAGCGAACCAAAAUAUAAAGGCACAUGGCCUUAUUUUGAAUGCAUGCCAUUUUUAAUAAUAAAGCCUCGAAAAACUACUGGUAACAUCGGACAAUCAGAAAAUUUACAAGAAUUCUCUAACAAAGAAAGCAAUAGUACAAUUCUAUCGGAAUCGGCAACUAUGGAUGACGAAUCACAAAACACAGGUGAACAUAAUAUAAUUGUUGAAGAAAUUAGUGAGCUUUAGCCGUGGAUGUCUAUGGCAGAGGACAGCAGAAACAGGAUACACGGAAAGCAAUGAUCACAUCACUCUGCAACCAGGGACUACGAUUUCCACAUAUGGGCUAGACACACAAGACUGCAUCAUUCUCCAGCAUUCUUCAGCAGACGCCGUCACGUUCCAUACCUCCAAAGCGCGCAGCUCCAGUAACACAAAAUCGCUCUUGUAAGAAAAAACAAGUUGGCGAAGAAUUUCAUGAGGCUUUCCUUGAAAUUGAAAGAAAAAAAAUACUUAAAAAAUAACUUUUUGCGUAAGGAAUAAAUCAACGAGGACGAUGAUGACAUAUGCUGGUUCGAGUCUUUAUUACCGUUUAUGAAACAACUCUUUAGGACACAUAUGCUAAAAAUAUUAAUAAAAGAACUGGAAAAAAAUGAUUCACCUUUGCCCUCCUUUAAGGUUACUCCUACAAACAUGUUAGAGUAGAUCAUAAGUAAUAACCACUGUAUUGAGAUAUUAACUAUAUUAUUCAGAAUUUCAUUAGA